rnacentral:rRNA from 1 species
CCUACGGGAGGCAGCAGUGGGGAAUUUUCCGCAAUGGGCGCAAGCCUGACGGAGCAACGCCGCGUGAGGGAUGAAGGCCUCUGGGCUGUAAACCUCUUUUAUCAAGGAAGAAGAUCUGACGGUACUUGAUGAAUAAGCCACGGCUAAUUCCGUGCCAGCAGCCGCGGUAAUACGGAGGGUGCAAGCGUUAUCCGGAAUCAUUGGGUUUAAAGGGUCCGCAGGCGGGCAUAUAAGUCAGUGGUGAAAGCCUACAGCUCAACUGUAGAACUGCCAUUGAUACUGUAAGUCUUGAAUUCGGUCGAAGUGGGCGGAAUGUGUAGUGUAGCGGUGAAAUGCAUAGAUAUUACACAGAACACCGAUAGCGAMGGCAGCUCACUAGGCCUGGAUUGACGCUCAGGGACGAAAGCGUGGGGAUCAAACAGGAUUAGAUACCCUGGUASUCCACGCYGUMAACGAUGAUUACUCGUUCUCGGCGAUAUACAGUCGGAGACUAAGCGAAAGUGAUAAGUAAUCCACCUGGGGAGUACGAUCGCAAGGUUGAAACUCAAAUGAAUUGACGG